CCUACGGGUGGCAGCAGUGGGGAAUAUUGGACAAUGGGGGCAACCCUGAUCCAGCCAUGCCGCGUGUGUGAAGAAGGCCCUCGGGUUGUAAAGCACUUUCAGUGAGGAAGAACGCCUGGUGGUUAAUACCCAUCAGGAAAGACAUCACUCACAGAAGAAGCACCGGCUAACUCGUGCCAGCAGCCGCGGUAAUACGGAGGGUGCGAGCGUUAAUCGGAAUUACUGGGCGUAAAGCGCGCGUAGGUGGCUUGAUCAGCCGGUUGUGAAAGCCCCGGGCUCAACCUGGGAACGGCAUCCGGAACUGUCAAGAUAGAGUGCAGGAGAGGAAGGUAGAAUUCCCGGUGUAGCGGUGAAAUGCGUAGAGAUCGGGAGGAAUACCAGUGGCGAAGGCGGCCUUCUGGACUGACACUGACACUGAGGUGCGAAAGCGUGGGUAGCAAACAGGAUUAGAUACCCUUGUAGUC
rnacentral:rRNA from 1 species